CUGUGAAUGACUGGAUCCAUUCUGGACACUGUUUAGCUGACAAUUCACCAAGACUCAGUACGAUAAUGUAACAAGUCAACUGUUUCAGUUAUCCAGAUGAUCAUAGGAUUUUACAAAAGUCUACAAAUGGUUUUUUUGUCACAGUAAUGAUCUUUCUUUUUUCAAUUUGACAUUUAAUACAUUGUAUUAAUAAGCUGCAAAUAUUAAAAAAAUUAUAUAUCAUAAAAAAACCCACAUAAAUAUUAGUGAAAUAAUGCAUGGCAAAUUUAAAACAGAUCAUGUUCUCUGAUAUAUCAUGUCUUUGUGACAUCUGGAUUGAGUAAAAAGAUGAUCUGUCCUUGGUGAGCAACUCUAGUAUACCUUAAUAUAUCACAGGUACAAGCCCCUAUAUACUACAGGUACAAGCCCAAUAUACUACAGGUACAAGCCCCUAUAUACUACAGGUACAAGCCCGGAUAUACUACAGGUACAAGCCCGGAUAUACUACAGGUACAAGCCCGGAUAUACUACAGGUACAAGCCCGGAUAUACUACAGGUACAAGCCCCAAUAUACUACAGGUACAAGCCCCUAUAUACUACAGGUACAAGCCCGGAUAUACUACAGUAUAUACUACAGGUACAAGCCCGGAUAUACUACAGGUACAAGCCCGGAUAUACUACAGGUACAAGCCCCAAUAUACUACAGGUACAAGCCCCAAUAUACUACAGGUACAAGCCCCUAUAUACUACAGGUACAAGCCCGGAUAUACUACAGGUACAAGCCCGGAUAUACUACAGGUACAAGCCCGGAUAUACUACAGGUACAAGCCCCGAUAUACUACAGGUACAAGCCCGGAUAUACUACAGGUACAAGCCCCAAUAUACUACAGACACAAGCCCCAAUAUACUACAGACACAAGCCCAAUAUACUACAGAUACAAGCCCCAAUAUACUACAGAUACAAGCCCCAAUAUACCACAGAUACAAGCCCAAUAUACUAUAGGUACAAGCCCAAAUAUACUGUGUAUGUGCCAAGACAGGACCUGUCCAUGCACAGACCCCCAGACAGUUGACAUGGACACUCCGACUGUCUAUGGAGACGGUCACCCGAGGGACAUGCUCCCAGUGUACUCCUACAUGCCACAUCUAUACACCAGCUCCCACUGACAUGACUCUCUAUACAACACCCUUGUAUACAACAGGCAGGAAUGUGGCAUUCAGCAGUAUUGGGGUGGGUAAAGGGUGAGUAAUGACAGGCAUCAGAUCAGUCAUGAAAUUAUGUCAACAGCAGUCAGAUAAGUGCUGGGGUGGCUGGAGUGGAGAGGAGACAAGAAUUAGAGGGUGGAGCAGUGAUCGGGACGUCUAGACGAGAUGGCUUUAGGGCUUGUCUCUGGAGGAGGAACUGGGUGGGGUGUUGGUUCUUCUAUCAUGGAUUGUUCACUACACUUCAUUUGAAGUAUUGAUGCUCUUACAGUGGGACAGUAAUCAAACAGAAUGGUCCAUAUAUAUCAUAUCAUUCAGCUAUUUAUUAAUCAUAAUAUUUUUCAUCCAACCAUAUAUUGACAAUAUAUUAUCAUAAUAUUCACUUAGCUUUUCUAUUCUUUCCAGUUUAAACAUUAUUUUUAUUUCUAAUUAUUUUUUGUACUUUUAAAUGUUUUUUAUUCAUUAACUUGUACACAAUCUAAUACAAUGAAAUUCUGAUCUAAUAUUUACAUAUGUUACUUAUUUUCUAAACUUUCUAUUUGAUUUUCUCUUUCUAUUUCAGAUUGGAAUAAGGGUGAAAGAUUUGAUAGGACAGAAGUUAUGUCAGUUUGGGCUAAUUUUAUACAACACUUAAUUUGUAUUUGAGAUUACAAUCAAGUGCAAAGGUCAAAAGGAUAGAGGUUAUAUCAUCUUAUGCUAAUUUUUUAUUUGACUUAUUUUCUAUUUCUGAUUGGAAUAAGGGGCAAAGAUUAACAGGAUAGACGUUAUAAUAGGAUGGGUGUGACAGUGGUGAGGGUUUUUGUCGUGGAUGGACCAGUUGGCUCGAGGGGGUUCCAGCUCAAGGGGUCAGGUGGGUGGGGAUAAGGAUUACCCCCAAGCAGGUGAAGGAGACAAGCCCUCCUAUUCUGCUUUGAUGUGAUACAAGUUCUGAGGGUGAUAGUAACUUGAACCUUCGUCUCGCAUUCUUGACUGACUGAAUACUCUUCAAGAUGAAGGAUGAUUUCCGAAAACACACAAAG
rnacentral:lncRNA from 1 species